rnacentral:rRNA from 1 species
GAAGGUGGCCUGUGAGGGUUGCUGGAGGUAUCAGAAGUGCGAAUGCUGACAUAAGUAACGAUAAAGCGGGUGAAAAGCCCGCUCGCCGGAAGACCAAGGGUUCCUGUCCAACGUUAAUCGGGGCAGGGUGAGUCGACCCCUAAGGCGAGGCCGAAAGGCGUAGUCGAUGGGAAACAGGUUAAUAUUCCCGUACUUGGUGUUACUGCGAAGGGGGGACGGAGAAGGCUAUGUUGGCCGGGCGACGGUUGUCCCGGUUUAAGCGUGUAGGUGUGUGUUCCAGGUAAAUCCGGUUCACUUUAACACUGAGGCGUGAUGACGAGGCACUACGGUGCUGAAGCAACAAAUGCCCUGCUUCCAGGAAAAGCCUCUAAGCAUCAGGUAACAUCAAAUCGUACCCCAAACCGACACAGGUGGUCAGGUAGAGAAUACCAAGGCGCUUGAGAGAACUCGGGUGAAGGAACUAGGCAAAAUGGUGCCGUAACUUCGGGAGAAGGCACGCUGACACGUAGGUGAAGUGAUUUACUCAUGGAGCUGAAGUCAGUCGAAGAUACCAGCUGGCUGCAACUGUUUAUUAAAAACACAGCACUGUGCAAACACGAAAGUGGACGUAUACGGUGUGACGCCUGCCCGGUGCCGGAAGGUUAAUUGAUGGGGUCAGCGCAAGCGAAGCUCCUGAUCGAAGCCCCGGUAAACGGCGGCCGUAACUAUAACGGUCCUAAGGUAGCGAAAUUCCUUGUCGGGUAAGUUCCGACCUGCACGAAUGGCGUAAUGAUGGCCAGGCUGUCUCCACCCGAGACUCAGUGAAAUUGAACUCGCUGUGAAGAUGCAGUGUACCCGCGGCAAGACGGAAAGACCCCGUGAACCUUUACUAUAGCUUGACACUGAACAUUGAGCCUUGAUGUGUAGGAUAGGUGGGAGGCUUUGAAGUGUGGACGCCAGUCUGCAUGGAGCCGACCUUGAAAUACCACCCUUUAAUGUUUGAUGUUCUAACGUGGACCCGUAAUCCGGGUUGCGGACAGUGUCUGGUGGGUAGUUUGACUGGGGCGGUCUCCUCCUAAAGAGUAACGGAGGAGCACGAAGGUUGGCUAAUCCUGGUCGGACAUCAGGAGGUUAGUGCAAUGGCAUAAGCCAGCUUGACUGCGAGCGUGACGGCGCGAGCAGGUGCGAAAGCAGGUCAUAGUGAUCCGGUGGUUCUGAAUGGAAGGGCCAUCGCUCAACGGAUAAAAGGUACUCCGGGGAUAACAGGCUGAUACCGCCCAAGAGUUCAUAUCGACGGCGGUGUUUGGCACCUCGAUGUCGGCUCAUCACAUCCUGGGGCUGAAGUAGGUCCCAAGGGUAUGGCUGUUCGCCAUUUAAAGUGGUACGCGAGCUGGGUUUAGAACGUCGUGAGACAGUUCGGUCCCUAUCUGCCGUGGGCGCUGGAGAACUGAGGGGGGCUGCUCCUAGUACGAGAGGACCGGAGUGGACGCAUCACUGGUGUUCGGGUUGUCAUGCCAAUGGCACUGCCCGGUAGCUAAAUGCGGAAGAGAUAAGUGCUGAAAGCAUCUAAGCACGAAACUUGCCCCGAGAUGAGUUCUCCCUGAGACUUAGAGUCUCCUGAAGGAACGUUGAAGACGACGACGUUGAUAGGCCGGGUGUGUAAGCGCAGCGAUGCGUUGAGCUAACCGGUACUAAUGAACCGUGAGGCUUAACCUUAC